rnacentral:rRNA from 1 species
AGCGAACGCUGGCGGCAGGCCUAACACAUGCAAGUCGAACGAACCCUUCGGGGGUAGUGGCGGACGGGUGAGUAACACGUGGGAACGUGCCUUUAGGUUCGGAAUAACUCAGGGAAACUUGUGCUAAUACCGAAUGUGCCCUUCGGGGGAAAGAUUUAUCGCCUUUAGAGCGGCCCGCGUCUGAUUAGCUAGUCGGUGAUGUAAUGGCUCACCAAGGCUACGAUCAGGAGCUGGUCUGAGAGGAUGACCAGCCACAUUGGGACUGAGACACGGCCCAAACUCCUGCGGGAGGAAGCAGUGGGGAAUCUUGCGCAAUGGGCGAAAGCCUGACGCAGCCAUGCCGCGUGGAUGAUGAAGGUCUUAGGAUUGUAAAUCCUUUCCCCGGUGGACGAUAAUGACGGUACCCGGAGAAGAAGCCCCGGCUAACUUCGUGCCAGCCGCCGCCGUAAUAC